rnacentral:rRNA from 1 species
UACAGAGGGUGCGAGCGUUAAUCGGACUUACUGGGCGUAAAGGGUGCGUAGGCGGGAGAUUAAGUUAGUUGUGAAAGGCCUGGGCUUAACCUAGGAAUUGCAAUUAAGACUGGUCAUCUAGAGUUGAGUAGAGGGGAGCGGAAUUUCCGGUGUAGCGGUGAAAUGCGUAGAUAUCGGAAGGAACAUCAGUGGCGAAAGCGACUUCCUGGACCAAUACUGACGCUCAUGUGCGAAAGCGUGGGGAGCAAACAGG